rnacentral:rRNA from 1 species
CAUAGGUUAAUGAGGCGAACCGGGGGAACUGAAACAUCUAAGUACCCCGAGGAAAAGAAAUCAACCGAGAUUCCCCCAGUAGCGGCGAGCGAACGGGGAGCAGCCCAGAGCCUGAAUCAGUGUGUGUGUUAGUGGAAGCGUCUGGAAAGGCGUGCGAUACAGGGUGACAGCCCCGUACACAAAAAUGCACAUAUUGUGAGCUCGAUGAGUAGGGCGGGACACGUGGUAUCCUGUCUGAAUAUGGGGGGACCAUCCUCCAAGGCUAAAUACUCCUGACUGACCGAUAGUGAACCAGUACCGUGAGGGAAAGGCGAAAAGAACCCCGGCGAGGGGAGUGAAAAAGAACCUGAAACCGUGUACGUACAAGCAGUGGGAGCACGCUUAGGCGUGUGACUGCGUACCUUUUGUAUAAUGGGUCAGCGACUUAUAUUCUGUAGCAAGGUUAACCGAAUAGGGGAGCCGAAGGGAAACCGAGUCUUAACUGGGCGUUAAGUUGCAGGGUAUAGACCCGAAACCCGGUGAUCUAGCCAUGGGCAGGUUGAAGGUUGGGUAACACUAACUGGAGGACCGAACCGACUAAUGUUGAAAAAUUAGCGGAUGACUUGUGGCUGGGGGUGAAAGGCCAAUCAAACCGGGAGAUAGCUGGUUCUCCCCGAAAG